CAGCAUAUUACAGAUCAAAGGAUGAAGGGCCACGCGUGUUAAGGCUACAAGUAUGCACAAAAACUGGUCACACCAGACUAAUGUCUUUUCCAUUUUGGAUAAGGAGCAAAGCAGGGGAAUGCAGUUGACACGGUAUGGCUGAAUUUCAGAAAAUCUCCCAAAGGAGACAGAGAAAAUAUGGCUGAAUGCCAACAAGGUUAGACAGAGACAUGACUGAUCUAACCAAGCUCAAGGAUCACUAAUUACUUAACGUUUCCUAAUGCUAGAGCAAAGCUCAGUGGUGAGUGGUCCGGAGGAUGAGGAGGUAUGAGCCAAGAGAAGGCAGCAUCCUGGUGACCUGCCUUGCAGGCUGCUUGGAGGAUAGACUUGAGGUCAUUCUCAUGAGCAUUUUUAAGGAAGGAGGAGGCCUGGUCAAGUUUAUAUUCUGGCAGGAGCACUAGGGUGACAAAGUAAAGGAUAGCUUAGAGGUCAGUCUCACUGGUGAGGUCAGAAGUGUCCACUGCACACACUAGUUCAGCCCCAGGUGAUGGGGUCUUGCCACAUCUCUGAAGUCUGGCUUCAGUUUCAAUACUGACUCCUCCAGACUCCCAGUCACUGAAUGUUGACUACGGGCCAGGCAUUCAUUAUACGUGACUUCAUUUAAAUCCCAUAACAGCACCAUAAUGUAGGCAUUAUCAUCUCUAUUCGGGAAGUGAGGAAACUAACGAAGAGGGGUGUAUAACUUGUCCACGGCGUCACCACUUAUGAAUGUCAGAUUCGGGACUUGAGCCAGGUCUAGUUGAUGCCACAGCCCAGCAGCUUCACUUUUCUGAUGUACAAGUUCUUUCCACGACUGCAAUGAGGAAGGAUUCAGUGAUCUGAUACUGACCCCUCUGGUGCCAGCUGACCUUUUAUGGAAAACCCAGGAGAGGAGGGCUGGGGGUCCAGGGGGUGCAGGGGGCACAGUGUCUCUCUGAUCACAGUGCCACCAUGGAGGCUGUUUUCUCUGUGCACAUCUGUUUAAAGUAUCCACUUCCCAUAAAUUAUGCCCUGGCUUCUCCUUCACCAAAGCACAGUGUUCUAAGUAUGGAUUAGGAUGUUUUCUUAGGCCUGAGAAAAAAGGGCAAAGGUUUCUUUAGAAAGCAGCCACUCAAAACUUCGUGAGGUACAUGAGAAUCAGACAGUGAAGAGAAACCAUGGCCUAAGUUGUUCAUGAUGACAAAUACUGAGACUUGUCAUUUCUCCUUGACUUGCCUACAUGCCAUUCUUAUACAGGUGCAGGAACAGAGAUCAGAAAUUAUGAAUGAUCAAGACCAACCAAUGGAAGGCCAUCUGUCAGAGAUGACACCCUGAGGCAGCUUGUUGAGAUGCAUAUUUUGGCAAAUCUGAAAUGAAUGGUCCAUUCUGGAUAAAGUCAUUGCUUCUCUUGAGAUGCAAGAAACCAGUGCUAUUCUACUUAUGGGUAGCUCAGAUGAAUUAGCCAGAACAAAGAGCUUUCUAGUCAGAGAGAGCAGCAGGUGCAAAGGCCCUGAGGCUGGAACAUGUGUAGCAUGUUAAGGGGAAAAAGCAUGUGUGGUUGGAGUCUAGUGAGGCAGGGCAGGGUAUAGAGAUAAGGUCAGACAAAGCACCAGGAGGCCAGAUUGUGCAGGACCUUGAGGGCUAUUUUAGGAUUUCAACUUUUACUCUGAGUGAGAUUGGAGCCAAUGGAGGAUGUUAAAUAGAGGAGUCGCAUGAUUGACUUAUGAGUGACUCACGGCUGCUCCUUGGAAAAUAGGCUGCUACUGGGAUUCCAAGUAUGCAGCAAUUAUAACAUCCAGGAGAAAGAUGAUGAUGGCUAGAACCAGAGGGAUAGCAAUGGAGGUGGCAGGACGGGCUUAGGCAUUAGACAUAGUUUUGAACGAAAAGUGUAUUAGUCAAGGUUCUCCAGGGAAACCGAACCAAGAGGACAUAUACAAAUCUGUGAUGCAAGGAGGGCAGUGCCCAGUCUCAGGAGCAGCCCCCGCGAGGCUCCAGGCAACGAGGAACAUGGUGGAAUGUUCCUGUGCCCAUCUUAAGAAUGAGGAAACCGAAGACCUCAGAGGCUGUUCCACUUGUUCUCUGUUUUCUUGGGAUGUGUGUGACAAAUCCUGCACUAGACCAAACCUCAGGACUCUCAGGGCAGUGCUCCCACAAAACGUCCUACCUCUCAUCAGUUCACCUUCCACAAUUAAGUUCCCUAGUGAGCAGGCUGGGAGAGGAUGGGGUGUGUGUGUGCGUGUGUGCGCGUGCGCGCAGGCAUGUGCCAAGCCCAGGACACGAGUCCAGGACUGACACUCCCCACCACUCCCUGGGAAAGGAAUUUCUCCUCAGCCCAGCUUCUCUCUCAGGGAAAUUCAGGUUUGCAGGCAUCCGACCCAGUGAACAGCACAGGAAGGAGGAGCCCCUCUGGCCAGCGAGGUCCCUCAGGCGUCUUUCCUGAGACACUUGCACCUGGGCGCCCCCAGGCUGUGCUGGGAGGUCGAUGGCAGCCUGGCUGGAAAAAGUGAGAAAUGGAAGGAACUUAGAUGCCUGUCCACAUGGAAGUGGCCCGAUAGUGAUGACGUAUUUAGUCAGCCGUGAAAAAGAUUGGAGCAGGUCUAGACGUAGAGUCAAGAAAGAUCUCGACGACAUAUUAUGGAGCAAAACCUAGAGAAACUUGCACACAGUGCAUAGAGUAUGGUCCCGUUCAUGCACAAAAGUAACCUAUAUAUGUGACUUUGAAUGUAUAGAGAAAGGGUCACAGCAGCCUGCCGAUGGCGAUUCGUUUAUUCACUCCACGGAUGUGCGUCCAGUGCCCUCUCCUGCCCCUGGCGCUGUGCUGGGGGAGGGGAUCAGCAGAGGGGGAAGCAGACGAUGUCCCUGUCCUCCUGCAGCCUGAGAGGGGCAGGGUUGAGGGAGGGGUAAAGGAACAUGAUGGCUUUUUAUUUUAUGUCCUUCUGCAUUAUCGGAAGAUUUCCAGCUAGAAUAUUUCAUAGGGAUGUCAUAACGAAUACAAAAAUACACAAACAAAGAGAAGAAGGUGGAAAAAGAAGAGAAGGAGGAGAAAUGCUUAUGUAAACAAUGUGAUAGGGCACCUGGGGUCACUUUCAAGCUGUCACACUCUUGACCUGACUAGAAGGAUGGUCUCUCCUACCCAGCAUCACAGAAGAACAGCACCAAGUGGAGAAUGCCAGACAUGAUGUCCACAGCCCCUUAGAAGGAAGAAGGCAUAUUCCAGUAACAGAAGGUCCCACAACUCCCCAGUUUCUCCCCAGCCCUCCAAGAGCACUGCCUGUAGCUGGUCACAGCUCCUAGAGGUGGCAGCUUUUUAAGACCAGGAUCAUCUUCUGGGGCUGAUGCCAUGAAAAUAGGUGCGCUGUCUUCUCUGAAUGCAUCCUUCCAGACGUGGCCUUUUACCCUCCUCCUCUGAUGAAGUGCCUCCAUCUGCCCAGCAACCUGUUUAGAGCCCUCACUGUUGCUGGGAACCUCAAGUAACAGCAGAGGGAGUUUCUUCUCUUCUUUUUUCUUUUUGAGGAAGAUUAGCUCUGAGCUAACAUCUGCUGCCAAUCCUCCUCUUUUUGCUGAGGAAGACUGGCCCUGAGCAAACAACCAUGCCCAUCUUCCUCUACCUUACAUGUAGGACUCCUGCCACAGCAUGGCUUGACAAGCGGUGCCAUGUCCGCACCCAGGAUCCGAACCAGCCAACCCCGGGCCACUGAAAUGGAACAUGAGAACUUAACCACUGCGCCACCAGGCCAGCCCCUCUUCUCUUCUUGAAGUGCUCAGACAGUCUAACUGAGAGCAGACUGCACAGUUACUUACAUGGAUUACACCGAAGGAUGCACCCUUCCCCAUCCUACCCCCUCCCAGUCCUUGAGCUUGUCUUCUCUGGGCAGAAGAAUUGGCAAGACAAGCUAUUGGCCAGUAAGGUGACAAAGUCUCACGAGCCCUCUGAUGUGUUUUCAGCUCUCAGGUGGUCAAUUUAGCUGUUAGAUUUGUGGUCAGACGUCCUGAGUUCACAUCCUAGCUCUGCCAUUUUCAAGCUGUACACUUUUUGGCAUAUUUCUUCCUCUGUAAAUAACAAUAAUUAUAAUAAUAAUUAAAUGGCAAUGACGAGAAAGUCCUGCCCCACAAAAUGGUUGUGAGGAUUUAAAAAGAUGUCUAUAGGGGUUUGUUUUUUACUUGUGCAAAUCUUGCAAAUGUGUGGUGUGUGCAACCACUGUGCUACUUGCCUUGGGAGUGUUCUCCAUGCACCUGGAGCCGGAAUGAGCCUGAGGCAGCCUGGGUGAGCAGAAUGUGCCCAUCAGCUGUGACAGAGACACAAUCUCAGUUUCAACCAGAGAGCCUACAAGGAAACGUAUCCAAGAAAACCAGAUUUGCCUGUCCUCCGAGAUAAGCAGAAAGAUUCCUUUCAGUCACGCAGGCAAAGGCAUCCAGCCUCGGCCACCCCAGCUGCAUUUUUGUCCUUAUUCCCCAAUUCUAGCAUUUUCAACAGAC
ensembl:lncRNA